rnacentral:lncRNA from 1 species
AUAACCGGAGGGACACCCGGGGCGCUCACCCCCCCCCGCGGGGAAGGGCGGGCUGCUGAGCCCACCCCCCAUCUCGGCCCAGGUCUGUCCCUGGGAGCUGAUCCAGGACGAGAUCCUGAGCAGGAAACAAAAAGCCGCCGAGGCAGCAGACUCGGGGACCGCCGGGGACACGGAGACCCCCGAGCCCAAACCAGCCCCCGCCAAGACCUUCCGGAGCCUGGGCCUGGCCAUCAAAGCCCUGAACCGCUCCCGGGGGAAGAGCGUCCUCAGAGGGAGGAGGGAGAGCGAGGGGAGCUUCAGGAAGAGGGGGAGCAGCAGGAGGGAGAAGUCCAGCCUGGCCGAGGCUUCAGCCACGUCCCUCGGGGGCACCGGCCCCGACCCCGCUGCCAAAAGCCCCGAGGGGGGCAGGCAGAGGCCAGAGCCCCCCAGCCGUGGGUACACGGUGCCCUGCCAGCACAACAACAACGCUGCCACCCCCGGGGAAGCCACGGGCUGGGGGGACAGCGGGACAGAAGGACACUGGGACAGUCUGGCGCCAGGGACAGCUGGUGGGGACGAAGUGGCAGAGCAGCCCAGUGGGAAAACACAGGUGGAGCCCCAGGAAGGGGACGGGGCUCCUGGGCUGGAUCCAGGGAAGGACGCUCCUGCAGUGGAUCCAGGGAAGGAUGCUCCUGCAGUGGAUCCAGGGAAGGAUGCUCCUGCAGUGGAUCCAGGGAAGGAUGCUCCUGCAGUGGAUCCAGGGAAGGAUGCUCCUGCAGUCACGCUGGAGGAAGGAACAGCCAAAGGGCUCCAGGGGAUCAAUGGAUCCAUCCAGCCCCAGGAGCACAAAGAGGAGGAACAGCCACCUGCAAAGCCCACCCCAAGCAGCCCCCAGCCCUCCACCACCAGCGUGCAGGGAGAGGCCAGGGGGAAGCCGGGGGCUGGGGCUUUUCCCCCAGGAUCCCUUGGAAUCCCAGCGGGAAGGGGAGCUCUGCUGCGCCAAGAGGCCGUUGCUUCCCGGGAGGACGGGGGGC